rnacentral:rRNA from 1 species
AUUGAACGCUGGCGGCAGGCCUAACACAUGCAAGUCGAGCGGAUGAAGGGAGCUUGCUCCUGGAUUCAGCGGCGGACGGGUGAGUAAUGCCUAGGAAUCUGCCUGGUAGUGGGGGAUAACGUCCGGAAACGGGCGCUAAUACCGCAUACGUCCUGAGGGAGCAAGUGGGGGAUCUUCGGACCUCACGCUAUCAGAUGAGCCUAGGUGGGAUUAGAUAGUUGGUGGGGUAAAGGCCUACCAAGGCGACGAUCCGUAACUGGUCGGAGAGGAUGAUCAGUCACACUGGAACUGAGACACGGUCCAGACUCCUACGGGAGGCAGCAGUGGGGAAUAUUGGACAAUGGGCGAAAGCCUGAUCCAGCCAUGCGGCGUGUGUGAAGAAGGUCUUCGGAUUGUAAAGCACUUUAAGUUGGGAGGAAGGGCAGUAAGUUAAUACCUUGCUGUUUUGACGUUACCAGCAGAAUAAGCACCGGCUAACUUCGUG